UGGACGACAGAGACUGGUUCCAGCUGUGAGGAACUGCAGAAAGGCUCGACUUGGUGACUGUUGGCUCCGAAAGGAUGAAUGUGAAAUUUUGGCCUCGGCUCUGAAGUCCAACCCAGAUCUGACUGAACUGGAAAUAAGUUGGAUCAACAUAGAUGAAGGUGGAGACUCUGAUCUGAAGCCUCUGGUUGAGAUCCUGGAGAGUUCAGUCAGUAAAGUGAAGAAUCUGAGCUUGUGGAAAUGCAGUUUGUCAGAGACCAGCUGGACUUCUCUGUUCUCAGCUCUGAAGUCCAACCCGACCCAUCUGACAAAACUGUACCUGAGCAGAACCAAUCUGGGAGAUUCUGGAGUGAAGGAGCUCUGUGGUUUUCUGCAGACUGAAGGCUGCAGACUGGAGACAUUGAAAUUGUUUGACUGCAGUUUGUCAAAGAUCAGCUGUGAUUAUUUGGCCUCAACUCUGAAGUCCAACCCGACCCGUCUGACAGGACUGGACCUGAGAGAAAACAACCUGAAGGAUUCAGAUGUUCAGCAGCUGAAGGAUCUUGUAAAGACUUUAUAGUUCUGAUCUCUGUGAAGUAGAGAAUGGUCUCAGUGUCCUGCUGAUCC